rnacentral:misc_RNA from 1 species
GCAUCAGAGGGCAUGCAUGAGGUCUAUCGACAUUGCACGGACUAUCCGUUUUCCGUGCCAGCCGCGCCUCAACUGAUCGAAGAGUACCUUGCGAACCAUGACGUCGGCGCGAACACCUUUUUCAGCGGCAGUCCGGGGCGUUCCGUUGCGCAAAUUCAGGGCGAAAGCCUUCUCCGCCGCGAUAUUCUCACGUUCCUUUCAAAACGAUGCCAGCCGGGCGCCGCUGUUCCGGCGCGAUCGGCCGGAUUUCUUGACGAGGUGCGCCGGC